rnacentral:rRNA from 1 species
UACAGAGGGUGCAAGCGUUAAUCGGAGUUACUGGGCGUAAAGGGCGCGUAGGCGGUUAUAUAAGUGAGAUGUGAAAUCCCUGGGCUUAACCUAGGAACUGCAUCUCAUACUGUGUAACUGGAGUAUUGUAGAGGGUAGUGGAAUUUCCGGUGUAGCGGUGAAAUGCGUAGAGAUCGGAAGGAACACCAGUGGCGAAGGCGGCUACCUGGACAAAUACUGACGCUGAGGCGCGAGAGCGUGGGGAGCAAACAGG